rnacentral:rRNA from 1 species
UACUCGAGUGGCGAACGGGUGAGUAACGCGUGGGUGAUCUGCCCUGCACUCUGGGAUAAGCCUGGGAAACUGGGUCUAAUACCGGAUAGGACCAUGCUUUAGUGUGUGUGGUGGAAAGUUUUUUCGGUGUAGGAUGAGCCCGCGGCCUAUCAGCUUGUUGGUGGGGUAAUGGCCUACCAAGGCGGCGACGGGUAGCCGGACUGAGAGGUUGGUCGGCCACAUUGGGACUGAGAUACGGCCCAG